GUGCUCACUUCGGCAGCACAUACACUAAAAUUGGAACAAUACAGAGAAGGUUAGCAUGGUCCCUGAGCAUGGAUGACAUAAACAAUAAAUUUAAGAAUGGUGUUUAU